rnacentral:rRNA from 1 species
UACGUAGGUGGCAAGCGUUGUCCGGAUUUACUGGGCGUAAAGCGCGUGUAGGCGGCUUGGUAAGUCCGCUCUGAAAGCCCGGGGCUCAACCCCGGGAGGCGGGUGGAUACUGUCAAGCUCGAGUCCGGAAGAGGCGAGUGGAAUUCCGGGUGUAGCGGUGAAAUGCGUAGAUAUCCGGAGGAACACCGGUGGCGAAGGCGGCUUCCUGGACCGACACUGACGCUGAGGCGCGAAAGCUAGGGGAGCAAACGGG